rnacentral:lncRNA from 10 species
GUGAAUUCCAGCUUCAUUACCGAGCUUGGGUUUCAUGAUUCAUCUGGCAGAAGAGCAAUGUCCCAAACACAGGAGAAUGGCUAAGCCCUGAAAAAGGAGACUUCAUCAGGAGUGACCCUCGGCAGAUACCUGAGGCAGCAGAACCCACAGGAAGGAAGAAAGAAAGUCCUCCAAACCAGUUCUGCCUUCCUUAAUAUGCUUGAUUCAGCCCUGGGGCCAAAUUAGGAGAACUCUCAAGAACAAGGAAAAUUGAACAAAUGAAGGAUCUGCUAGCUAAGAUGAAAAGCAAGGGGAGAGAUGACUUUUACGUAGGCAAGAAAGAGGGCGUCUACCACAGUCAGUCUUGACUCCAACUUCACUCCAAUUUUCUAAAUCUCUGUGCAUACAUCUCCAGUAACAUUAAAUCUAAUUAUAUUAUGACCAUUAUUGCCAUCAUACAAAGAUCUCAAAUCACAUACUUAAAAAAUAGGGAAAUAAUACACUUAAAAGAUAAAUGCGUUAAAAUCAUGGAAUCCUGGAAAAUCGC